AUGAAGGCCUUAGGGUCGUAAAGCUCUUUCGCCUGAGAUGAUAAUGACUGUACCUGGUAAAGAAACCCCGGCUAACUCCGUGCCAGCAGCCGCGGUAAUACGGAGGGGGUUAGCGUUGUUCGGAAUUACUGGGCGUAAAGCGCGCGUAGGCGGAUUGGAAAGUUGGGGGUGAAAUCCCAGGGCUCAACCCUGGAACUGCCUUCAAAACUACUAGUCUUGAGUUCGAGAGAGGUGAGUGGAAUUCCGAGUGUAGAGGUGAAAUUCGUAGAUAUUCGGAGGAACACCAGUGGCGAAGGCGGCUCACUGGCUCGAUACUGACGCUGAGGUGCGAAAGUGUGGGGAGCAAACAGGAUUAGAUACCCUGGUAGUCCACACCGUAAACGAUGAAUGCCAGUCGUCGGGUAGCAUGCUAUUCGGUGACACACCUAACGGAUUAAGCAUUCCGCCUGGGGAGUACGGUCGCAAGAUUAAAACUCAAAG
rnacentral:rRNA from 1 species